GACAGAGGGUGCGAACGUUGUUCGGAAUUACUGGGCGUAAAGCGCGUGUAGGCGGCUCGAUAAGUCGGAUGUGAAAGCCCUGGGCUCAACCUAGGAAGUGCAUUCGAAACUGCUGAGCUUGAGUUCUGGAGAGGAAGGCGGAAUUCUCGGUGUAGAGGUGAAAUUCGUAGAUAUCUGGAGGAACACCGGUGGCGAAGGCGGCAUUCUGGACCGAUAUUGACGCUGAGGAGCGAAAGCCAGGGGAGCAAACGGG
rnacentral:rRNA from 1 species